rnacentral:rRNA from 1 species
UACGUAGGGUGCGAGCGUUGUCCGGAAUUAUUGGGCGUAAAGAGCUUGUAGGCGGUUUGUCGCGUCUGCCGUGAAAAUCCGGGGCUCAACCCCGGACUUGCGGUGGGUACGGGCAGACUAGAGUGUGGUAGGGGAGACUGGAAUUCCUGGUGUAGCGGUGAAAUGCGCAGAUAUCAGGAGGAACACCGGUGGCGAAGGCGGAUCUCUGGGCCUUACCUGACGCUCAGGUGCGAAAGCUAGGGGAGCGAACAGG